ACGUGCAUGCCUGCAGCUGAAUUCGUCAGCAGAAGCGCGCCGAGCACGCAGCCACGCGCGUAUACAGCGACACAGACGCGCGCGAGGAAGAGAGUUCAUCUCAACAACGCAACUCAUCCGUAGACUGGAGAAGACAGGAAUGGAAUUAUCACUGAUGGCAGCUCAGCAUAUUCAAGCGGUCAGUGGAGCCUUCAUGGAUUCUCAACACAAUGGCAACACACCCCUUCAGACCUCCACCUCUAACCUCAACGCCAUCUUGCCCAAACCAGCCGAGAAAGAAGAGGAGGACGAAACCAUCUGGCUGAGUUUGGCAACAGGGCUGUGGUUUUUUUCUGGCCAUAGUUUGAUCUCAGAAAUGUGGCACAGCUGUAACACCGUUUGUGUGCUUGACUCCGGAGUCAAUGGAGACGCAGGUGUCCAUCACGCUCUCAACCACACCACAAUGUGCCUUAGGGAACGUAAUGCUGCCGAUCUGUGUGCUCUGGUGUGGACACAGUGGGAAUGAUCUCAUUUUGGAGAAAGAAGAAAGUCAUAUACAUCUAGGAUGGCUUAAGGAUUGAAAGGAACAUGUUGCAGCCUAAAGGAUGCUUGUAUUCGAGCAUAUUCUCACAAGAAUCAAAUUCUUUGAGACACUUUGAUAUGCUGCAGCAGCACAAUGGGAACCUGCUUUAAAGACACUCAGAAGUGGAGGAGCUUGUUUGAUUAUCAAGUGAAUUCCUGCUGGGGAAAUAGAGCAGAUUCAUAAUGUCAACGUGCUCUGAAUAUCUGUAAAUGUUAGGAUCAGUAGAAUGAUUUUGUUUGUUUGUUUGUUUGUUUUACAGUUUAAUCACAAAAUGCAUAUGAGGGUUAACAGUAUUUUUUGAGACGUAUUUGGGUUAUUUGCGUGUGGUGGAGACAGUUUGAUUGAGAAUCUCUUCAAAAGUGAGCAAAAAGACCAACUUUUUAUUUUUAUUAGUAGGACUGUCAUUGACACAAAAUAUAGUUUUAAUAAUAUUAUGCAUCUAAUUGUUGAUUUGUUGUAUAUGCAUUUAGAGGGGGUAAAGUUUAUAAAAAAAAUAAGUUCAUAGUAGAUGAAACUAUAUAAAUGGAGAAGAAGCACUUUAUUUAUUUACGCUGGUCAGUAGAACUUGUGAUUUUCAUUCAAACAUCUUCUGUUUACGCAUUGCAUAUCCAUCUGCUUGCUCCUUAUCGGUCCGAUCUGAAAUUUGUGAAUGAAUGAGUAACACCGGACCCUCAGGGACGCUUUUUGUAAACAUUUACCUGACUCCAGCACAGCAAUACAGCACUGUUUCACGUGCAAAAAAUCCAGUUCAAGUUAUCACAGAUUGCACUGUUAAAUGUGUGAAAUGAACAUAUGGAAAGUACAUGUAAAGUGGGACAGUUGAGCUCAUCUAUCAUUAUGUAAAUAUUCUUGGGAAUGGGAUGGCGCUUAUGUAAGCAUUUUUAUCAUCUUAUAACCAACAGCCAUGAAGUGUCAGAAUGUGUCUCACUUUACCUGGAUUCAAAGUGAUCUGAACAGACUGGAUUUCAUUAAAAUGAUCGCCACGUCUAUAAUUCGUUUUGCCUUAACUAUAUUAUAGCAUUAUAAUAGCACAUGAUGCACACUUUAAAAAUCUUGAUAAUUGUACCCGUUUAAUUCAUGCCAAUAUUUUUUUUUUUUUUUUUUUUUUUUUUUAAAUGAAGAUAAAACAUAUAAGUGACACAUGUGAUUAUCUUUUAUGAGCCCAGCCACUCAUGCGUUUAGACUGUCUUGCAUGUUGGCAAAUAUCUCUGUUCCGCUGUUAUUUUAUGCAAGUAUUAUUGUCUAUACUGUACAUAAAAUUGUGUAAAAAUUA